GACGAACGCUGGCGGCGUGCUUUAGACAUGCAAGUCGAACGAGAAAGCCCUUCGGGGUUAGUAAAGUGGCGAACGGGUGAGUAACACGUGGGCAAUCUGCCCUUCGUUGGGGGACAACCGGGGGAAACCCCGGCUAAUACCCCGUAAGCUUGUCGGGUCGCAUGGCCUGACAAGGAGAGGUAGCUUCGGCCAUCCGGCGAAGGAGGAGCCCGCGGUACAUUAGCUAGUUGGUGAGGUAAAGGCCCACCGAGGCGACGAUGUAUAGCUGGUCUGAGAGGAUGAUCAGCCACACUGGGACUGAGACACGGCCCAGACUCCUACGGGAGGCAGCAGUCGGGAGUCCUGCACAAUGGGCGAAAGCCUGAUGCAGCAACGCCGUGUGAGCGACGAAGGCCCUAGGGUCGUAAAGCUCUGUUGUUAGGGACGAAGGGCGAAGGGUUAAUAGCCCUUAGCCUGACGGUACCUUUCGAGGAAGCCCCGGCUAACUACGUGCCAGCCGCCGCUGUAAAAC
rnacentral:rRNA from 1 species